GACGAACGCUGGCGGCGCGCCUAAUACAUGCAAGUUGAGCGCUGAAGGUUGGUACUUGUACCCACUGGAUGAGCAGCGCACGGGUGAGUAACGCGUGGGGAAUCUGCCUUUGAGCGGGGGACAACAUUUGGAAACGAAUGCUAAUACCGCAUAAAAACUUUAAACACAAGUUUUAAGUUUGAAAGAUGCAAUUGCAUCACUCAAAGAUGAUCCCGCGUUGUAUUAGCUAGUUGGUGAGGUAAAGGCUCACCAAGGCGAUGAUACAUAGCCGACCUGAGAGGGUGAUCGGCCACAUUGGGACUGAGACACGGCCCAAACUCCUACGGGAGGCAGCAGUAGGGAAUCUUCGGCAAGGGACGAAAGUCUGACCGAGCAACGCCGCGUGAGUGAAGAAGGUUUUCGGAUCGUAAAACUCUGUUGGUAGAGAAGAACGUUGGUGAGAGUGGAAAGCUCAUCAAGUGACGGUAACUACCCAGAAAGGGACGGCUAACUACGUG
rnacentral:rRNA from 1 species